rnacentral:rRNA from 1 species
CCCCUAGAUGUUCUGGGCCGCACGCGCGCUACACUGAACAGUUCAACAAGUCUUAACCUUGGCCGAUAGGUCUGGGUAAUCUUUGAACGCUGUUCGUGAUUGGGAUAGACCUUUGCAAUUAUGGGUCUUCAACGAGGAAUUCCUAGUAAACGCAAGUCAUCAGCUUGCAUUGAUUACGUCCCUGCCCUUUGUACACACCGCCCGUCGCACCUACCGAUUGAAUGGUCCGGUGAAAUCUCGGGACGGCGGCUUGGUCGCUUGCGUCCGACUGCUGAAACUUGAUUAAACCAUNUNAUUUACNGGAAGGUGAANUCGUANCA